CGAGAGGACCGGAGUGGACGCAUCACUGGUGUUCGGGUUGUCAUGCCAAUGGCACUGCCCGGUAGCUAAAUGCGGAAGAGAUAAGUGCUGAAAGCAUCUAAGCACGAAACUUGCCCCGAGAUGAGUUCUCCCUGACUCCUUGAGAGUCCUGAAGGAACGUUGAAGACGACGACGUUGAUAGGCCGGGUGUGUAAGCGCAGCGAUGCGUUGAGCUAACCGGUACUAAUGAACCGU
rnacentral:rRNA from 1 species